GGCAGCACGGGAGAGCGACCCGUUAGCUGGCAGACAAUCCAGGCCCCAUCCCACGGCAACUGUGGAUGGGGCCUGGCUUUCUGCGCUUAACCCCGUCUUCCAAUAACGGGAAAGAUUCAGUGCAUUGCACUUGAUUGCAGAACGCCUCGGCAGCGUUAUGGAGCGGACCGCAUCGCUCGGGGCGAACAAGCUUCUCCUCGCGGCUCCGUAGUCCCG
rnacentral:sRNA from 10 species